GAUGAAGAACGCAGUGAAAUGCGAUAAGUAAUGCGAAUUGCAGAAUUCCGUGAGUCAUCGAAUCUUUGAACGCACAUUGCGCCCUCUGGUAUUCCGGAGGGCAUGCCUGUCUGAGCGUCAUUGUCAACCCUCAAGCUCAGCUUGCUGUUGGGUCCCCGUCGUUGCUUUAACGGCGGACCCGAAAGGUAAUGGCAGAGUCCGUGAGACCCUAGACGCAGCGAGCUUCUAGCACGCGUCUGGACGUUUUUCGGGCUCGGUCUUAACUAGAUGAUAACUUCCGAUUGACCUCAGAUCAGGUAGGGAUACCCGCUGAACUUAAGCAUCUCAAUAAGCGGAGGA
rnacentral:misc_RNA from 1 species